AAAUCUACCCUGAUGUCUGGGAUAACCAGCCGAAAGGCUGACUAAUACCGGCUAUAUGCUACCCUGUUGGGGGUAUCAGGAAAGGUGGCCUCUUCUUGAAAGCUAUCGCAUUGGGAUGAGUUUGCGUAUCAUUAGCUAGUUGGUGGGGUAAUGGCCCACCAAGGCUUCGAUGGUUAGCGGGUCUGAGAGGAUGAUCCGUCACACUGGCACUGGAACACGGGCCAG
rnacentral:rRNA from 1 species